rnacentral:ncRNA from 1 species
GCAAAGCAGCUUUGCUUUGAUUAAGCAUUUAUUGCUCGGUUAAAUGUAAGUUUUAGCGGUAGAGAGUUUGAACUAUAGAUUAGUUUUAUUGAUUUGUGCUUACAGUAACUAAUUUUUUAUAAUUUGGUAAUUCAAGAUAUAGGAAGCAAUAAGAGGAAUGGACCCAGUUUGUGCCAGCAGUAGCGGUUAAACAAACCGUUCUAUGUUUAAUUUGUCAGUUUAAGUUAGUUUAAUUAGGAUAAUUUAAAUUAAGGGUUAUUAGGUGAAAUUUUAUCUUUUAUUAGUUAUUAAUUAUAAAGCUUUGAAAUUUUUUAUAAAACUAGGAUUAGAUACCCUAUUAUGUUAAGUGUUAAAGUUUAGCUGAAUUAGUAGUAGUUAUGGUCUUGAAAAUUAGGAGCAAUGGCGGUACUCUAGUCUGUUCAGAGGAACCUGCCCUGUGAUUGAUGAUCCACGAUUUUUAAGACUGAUUUAAUUAGUUUAUAUAUCGCCGUGGUUGAACAUUUUCUAAGAAAUUUAAUGUUCAAGACUUCUAUUUUGAGAAGAAUUCAGGUCAAGAUGUAGCUUAUAUUUCAGAAGAGGUGGGUUACAAUGGUUUAAAUUUCGGACAGGCCUUUAAGAGGGCCUCGAAGGCGGAUUUGAUAGUAAUUGGAGGGAUUUCCUUUAGUGAUUUAAGCUCUGGAGUAUGUACAUAUCGCCCGUCGCUUUCAUUAAAGUGAAAUAAGUCGUAACAUAGUAGGUGUACUGGAAAGUGUAUCUGGAAAGUC